CCUACGGGCGGCAGCAGUGAGGAAUAUUGGUCAAUGGGCGAGAGCCUGAACCAGCCAAGUCGCGUGAAGGAUGAAGGAUCUAUGGUUUGUAAACUUCUUUUAUAUGGGAAUAAAGUGCGGCACGUGUUCCUUUUUGUGUGUACCCUAUGAAUAAGCAUCGGCUAACUCCGUGCCAGCAGCCGCGGUAAUACGGAGGAUGCGAGCGUUAUCCGGAUUUAUUGGGUUUAAAGGGUGCGUAGGGGGUUAAUUAAGUCAGCGGUGAAAGUUUGUGGCUCAACCAUAAAAUUGCCGUUGAAACUGGUUGUCUUGAGUAUACUUGAGGUAGGCGGAAUGCGUGGUGUAGCGGUGAAAUGCAUAGAUAUCACGCAGAACUCCGAUUGCGAAGGCAGCUUACUAAACUACAACUGACACUGAAGCACGAAAGUGUGGGUAUCAAACAGGAUUAGAUACCCCAGUAGUC
rnacentral:rRNA from 1 species